rnacentral:rRNA from 1 species
UGGGCUUGACAUGUUGGUUGUAGGGAUCCGAAAGGUGACCGACCCUUCGGGGAGCCAUCACAGGUGCUGCAUGGCUGUCGUCAGCUCGUGUUGUGAGAUGUCCGGUUAAGUCCGGUAACGAGCGCAACCCUUGCCGUAUGUUAUACGUGUCAUACGGGACUGCCGGUAUAAAGCCGGGGGAAGGCGGGGAUGACGUCAAGUCAGCAUGGCCUUUAUGUCCAGGGCUACACACACGCUACAAUGGUCGGUACAAUAGGUUGCAAAACCGCGAGGUGGAGCCAAUCCUCAAAGCCGAUCUCAGUUCGGAUUGCAGGCUGCAACUCGCCUGCAUGAAGCCGGAGUGCUA